AACGAACGCUGGCGGCGCGUCUAAUACAUGCAAGUCGAGCGAGAAGGUGUAGCAAUACACUUGUAAAGCGGCGAACGGGUGAGGAAUACAUGGGUAAUCUACCAUCGAGUGGGGAAUAACCAACCGAAAGGUUGGCUAAUACCGCGUACGCCUCCGAGUCUUCGGGUUCGGAGGGAAAGCUGCACUGUGAGUGUAGCGCUCUUUGAUGAGCUCAUGUCCUAUCAGCUUGUUGGUAGGGUAACGGCCUACCAAGGCUUUGACGGGUAGCUGGUCUGAGAGGACGAUCAGCCACACUGGCACUGCGACACGGGCCAGACUCCUACGGGAGGCAGCAGUAAGGAAUAUUGCGCAAUGGGCGAAAGCCUGACGCAGCGACGCCGCGUGGGGGAUGAAGGUCUUCGGAUUGUAAACCCCUUUCGGGAGGGAAGAUGGAACGAGCAAUCGUUCGGACGGUACCUCCAGAAGCAGCCACGGCCAACUUCGUGCCAGCAGCC
rnacentral:rRNA from 1 species